rnacentral:lncRNA from 1 species
GCUUAGCCUCAUGCGUACGGCACCUUACGGCGCUACUUGCAUGAGGCCUUGCCAUUCCGUUGCCAAAAGCCAUCAGACGCCACGAGCAAUGUCGCCUCCCGAUGUUGCCCAUAACAACCGAAGGCAAUCGGAAUGUACUGAGUUUAGCUACAUGUGCACGGCUCCUUUCGGUGCUACUUGCACAAGGCCUCGCCAUUCCGUUGCCAAAAGCCAUCAGACUCCACGAGCAAUGUCGCCUCCCGAUGUUGCCCGCAACAACCGAUGGCAAUCGGCACGUACAUAUCUUAGCCCCAGGCGUACAGCACCUUGCAGCGCUACUUGCACGAGUCCUCGCCGUUCCGUUGCCAAAAGCCAUCAGAUGCCACGAGCGAUGUUGCCUCCCUAUGUUGCCCGCAACAACCGAUGGCAAUCGGCACAUACUUAGCUUAGCCACAUGCGCAUGGCACCUUGCGGCGCUACUUGCACGAGGACUAGCCGUUCCGUUGCCAAAAGCCAUCAGCCGCCACGAGGGAUGCCAGGCAUAACUCAUAACAACUGAUGGCAAUUGGCACGUACUUAGCUUAGCCCCAUGCGCAUGACACCUUGCGGUGCUACUUGCACGAGGCCUUGCCGUUCCGUUACCAAAAAUCCAUCAGCCGCCACUAGCGAUGUCGCCACCCGAUGUUGCCCGCAAGAACCGAUGGCAAUCGGCACGUACUUAGCUAAGCCGUAUGCGCACGGCACCUUGCGGCGCUACUUGCACAAGGCCUCGCCGUUCCGUUGCUAAAAUCCAUCGGCUGCCACAAGCGAUGCCAGAUACAACUCACAACACCCGAUGGCAAUCGGCACGU